AGCGGACUCCCCGUGCGGUGUCACCUCACUGAACUCCCCCAGGGCUUGACGGCAGCAAGGGCAGGUGGGCUCUGGCAGGUGUGCGGGGAGUUCGUUUAC
rnacentral:SRP_RNA from 1 species